GGGCCUCUUGCCAUCAGAUGUGCCCAGAUGGGAUUAGCUUGUUGGUGAGGUAACGGCUCACCAAGGCGACGAUCCCUAGCUGGUCUGAGAGGAUGACCAGCCACACUGGAACUGAGACACGGUCCAGACUCCUACGGGAGGCAGCAGUGGGGAAUAUUGCACAAUGGGCGCAAGCCUGAUGCAGCCAUGCCGCGUGUAUGAAGAAGGCCUUCGGGUUGUAAAGUACUUUCAGCGGGGAGGAAGGUGUUGCGGUUAAUAACCGCAGCAAUUGACGUUACCCGCAGAAGAAGCACCGGCUAACUCCGUGCCAGCAGCCGCGGUAAUACGGAGGGUGCAAGCGUUAAUCGGAAUUACUGGGCGUAAAGCGCACGCAGGCGGUCUGUCAAGUCGGAUGUGAAAUCCCCGGGCUCAACCUGGGAACUGCAUUCGAAACUGGCAGGCUUGAGUCUUGUAGAGGGGGGUAGAAUUCCAGGUGUAGCGGUGAAAUGCGUAGAGAUCUGGAGGAAUACCGGUGGCGAAGGCGGCCCCCUGGACAAAGACUGACGCUCAGGUGCGAAAGCGUGGGGAGCAAACAGGAUUAGAUACCCUGGUAGUCCACGCCGUAAACGAUGUCUACUUGGAGGUUGUGCCCUUGAGGCGUGGCUUCCGGAGCUAACGCGUUAAGUAGACCGCCUGGGGAGUACGGCCGCAAGGUUAAAACUCAAAUGAAUUGACGGGGGCCCGCACAAGCGGUGGAGCAUGUGGUUUAAUUCGAUGCAACGCGAAGAACCUUACCUGGUCUUGACAUCCACAGAACUUUCCAGAGAUGGAUUGGUGCCUUCGGGAACUGUGAGACAGGUGCUGCAUGGCUGUCGUCAGCUCGUGUUGUGAAAUGUUGGGUUAAGUCCCGCAACGAGCGCAACCCUUAUCCUUUGUUGCCAGCGGUCCGGCCGGGAACUCAAAGGAGACUGCCAGUGAUAAACUGGAGGAAGGUGGGGAUGACGUCAAGUCAUCAUGGCCCUUACGACCAGGGCUACACACGUGCUACAAUGGCGCAUACAAAGAGAAGCGACCUCGCGAGAGCAAGCGGACCUCAUAAAGUGCGUCGUAGUCCGGAUUGGAGUCUGCAACUCGACUCCAUGAAGUCGGAAUCGCUAGUAAUCGUGGAUCAGAAUGCCACGGUGAAUACGUUCCCGGGCCUUGUACACACCGCCCGUCACACCAUGGGAGUGGGUUGCAAAAGAAGUAGGUAGCUUAACCUUCGGGAGGGCGCUUACCACUUUGUGAUUCAUGACUGGGGUGAAGUCGUAACAAGGUAACCGUAGGGGAACCUGC
rnacentral:rRNA from 1 species